GACGAACGCUGGCGGCGUGCUUAACACAUGCAAGUCGAACGGCAAGGCCCUGCUUUUGUGGUGUGCUCGAGUGGCAAACGGGUGAGUAACACGUGAAUAACCUGCCCUUGACUUUGGGAUAACUUCAGGAAACUGGGGCUAAUACCGGAUCGGAGCUCCUGCUGCAUGGUAGGGGUUGGAAAGUUUCGGCGGUUGGGGAUGGACUCGCGGCUGAUCAGCUUGUUGGUGGGGUAGUGGCUUACCAAGGCUUUGACGGGUAGCCGGCCUGAGAGGGUGACCGGCCACAUUGGGACUGAGAGACGGCGCAGACGCCUACGGGAGGCAGCAGGGGGGAAUAUUGCACAAUGGUCGGGAGCCUGAUGCAGCAACGCUGCGGGCGGGAUGACGGCCUGCGGGGUGUAAACAGCUUUCGCCUGUGACGAAGCGUGAGUGACGGUAAUGAGUAAAGAAGCACCGGCUAACUACGUG
rnacentral:rRNA from 1 species